AACAGUUUUUCAACUGUGAGUCUGAAGCUGGAGGUCAAGACUGAAGGUGUGACUCUGGGACUCUCCCUGGACAAACCCAUCUUUCAAGCUGCCUGCCUUAGAAUAACAUCAAGACAAGGUUGGGAAGAAAUUCUCCAUUCAUUCUGGUGGACAGAGUGAUUUUGGAAAAGAAUUUCUCAUUCCAAGAGUUUCUACGGACUCUUCAACUGGAUUUCUGCUGCUUGACCCACCAAGGACUCUGUGAAUAUUGUUCAGGAGUGUUGGACUUCCCUUCCCUACCUGAAAAGCUAUCAGAAGCAGCUUCAGAUAAUUUGACUAAUAUCCAUUCACUUGUGCUCAAAGGAAUUUGGAUUAUAAGGAACUUCCAAAGAAAAAAUGUUUCAAGGCAUCUAAUUAUGAUGGGAGAAGAUUCAUUCAAAUGA
rnacentral:lncRNA from 1 species